rnacentral:rRNA from 1 species
CAGUAGCCGCGGUAAUGCGAAGGGGGCUAGCGUUGUUCGGAAUUACUGGGCGUAAAGCGCACGUAGGCGGAUAUUUAAGUCAGGGGUGAAAUCCCAGAGCUCAACUCUGGAACUGCCUUUGAUACUGGGUAUCUUGAGUAUGGAAGAGGUGAGUGGAAUUCCGAGUGUAGAGGUGAAAUUCGUAGAUAUUCGGAGGAACACCAGUGGCGAAGGCGGCUCACUGGUCCAUUACUGACGCUGAGGUGCGAAAGCGUGGGGAGCAAACAGGAUUAGAUACCCGUGUAGUCCCUGUCUCUUAUAU